AACUGCGAAUGGCUCAUUAAAUCAGUUAUCGUUUAUUUGAUAGUACCUUACUACUUGGAUAACCGUGGUAAUUCUAGAGCUAAUACAUGCUAAAAACCUCGACUUCGGAAGGGGUGUAUUUAUUAGAUAAAAAACCAAUGCCCUUCGGGGCUCCUUGGUGAUUCAUGAUAACUUAACGAAUCGCAUGGCCUUGCGCCGGCGAUGGUUCAUUCAAAUUUCUGCCCUAUCAACUUUCGAUGGUAGGAUAGUGGCCUACCAUGGUAUCAACGGGUAACGGGGAAUUAGGGUUCUAUUCCGGAGAGGGAGCCUGAGAAACGGCUACCACAUCCAAGGAAGGCAGCAGGCGCGCAAAUUACCCAAUCCCGACACGGGGAGGUAGUGACAAUAAAUACUGAUACAGGGCUCUUUUGGGUCUUGUAAUUGGAAUGAGUACAAUUUAAAUACCUUAACGAGGAACAAUUGGAGGGCAAGUCUGGUGCCAGCAGCCGCGGUAAUUCCAGCUCCAAUAGCGUAUAUUAAAGUUGUUGCAGUUAAAAAGCUCGUAGUUGAACCUUGGGCCUGGCUGGCCGGUCCGCCUCACCGCGUGUACUGGUCCGGCCGGGCCUUUCCUUCUGGGGAUCCGCAUGCCCUUCACUGGGUGUGUCGGGGAACCAGGACUUUUACUUUGAAAAAAUUAGAGUGUUCAAAGCAGGCCUUUGCUCGAAUACAUUAGCAUGGAAUAAUAGAAUAGGACGUGCGGUCCUAUUUUGUUGGUUUCUAGGACCGCCGUAAUGAUUAAUAGGGAUAGUCGGGGGCAUCAGUAUUCAAUUGUCAGAGGUGAAAUUCUUGGAUUUAUUGAAGACUAACUACUGCGAAAGCAUUUGCCAAGGAUGUUUUCAUUAAUCAGUGAACGAAAGUUAGGGGAUCGAAGACGAUCAGAUACCGUCGUAGUCUUAACCGUAAACUAUGCCGACUAGGGA
rnacentral:rRNA from 1 species